rnacentral:rRNA from 1 species
UGAGUUUUCAACUCCCACAAACCAUCGCGAACCCAUCUUGUUAACCCCCGUUGCCUCGGCGGGCACGCCGGCCUAACCCGCCGCGUGCCGGCCGGGGGGACGAGGGCCCAAACUCUCUGUUUUUAUAGGUCUCUCUGAGUAAUUCUUCCAAUAAGUUAAAACUUUCAACAACGGAUCUCUUGGUUCUGGCAUCGAUGAAGAACGCAGCGAAAUGCGAUAAGUAAUGUGAAUUGCAGAAUUCAGUGAAUCAUCGAAUCUUUGAACGCACAUUGCGCCCGCCAGCACUCUGGCGGGCAUGCCUGUCCGAGCGUCAUUUCAACCCUCGAGCCCCCGCGGCUCGGUGUUGGGGCUUCCACGGCCGCCGUGGGCCCCUAAGACCAGUGGCGGGCUCGCUACGACCCCGGGUGCAGUAAUUUUACCUCGCCCGGGUGGCCGCAGCGGGCUCACGCCGUGAAAAACCGACGCCGCAAGGUGUCGACAACGCACAAGGUUGACCUCGGAUCAGGUAGGAAUACCCGCUGAACUUAAGCAUAUCA